GUGAGAAAGACUAUUGGUGGGUAUCCCUUCUCUCUCUUUUAGAUGUUUUGUUUACAUCAAUCAGCUGACGGUUUUGUUGAUUACUCAGUUUAAAUUAGUUUUUGGGAUGAUUUCUCUUGUGUUCAAUUGGAAACGAGAUCUAAAAGUGUUCAGAAUGCUAAAACUCACGAUUAAUAUUCGCUUGAAACUUGAAAAAACUCAAAUAAAUCGGGGAAUCCCACUCGAAAACCUUUAAGUAUCUGGAUUUUCGGUUUCUGAAAAAUAUGGAUCUAGUGAAGGGACAGAUUACCUUUACUUGGCCACCCGAAAAAAUUAAAAGGGUUGAAACUGUCUGAAAAGACCUCUUUCGAUUUUAACUGUCCUCUGAGUUUUUGUGUUUCUCAAAUCAUUGUUGUCCCCAUCAACAUCAGUACUGUUUACAGUUACGCAAAAUUGGUAAAUUUCAGAAUCUUGUUACAACGAUGGUUGUAACAAGUUGCUAAAGGAUGCCCCAAUGAGCAGAACAAAAAUGAGACAAAGAGUUUCCACAGGUUUCCUUUUAAACGCCCAGAUAUUUUGGAACUUUGGAUUACUGCUGUAGGAAGGGAAAAUUGGUAUUCCUCAAAGUAUAGUAGAAUAUGUGAAGAUUACCUUCCUAAUCCAAGUUAUACAAGAAAAAUAUUGAAACUUGAUGCUGUACCAAGUGUAUUCAAUAAUAUCCCA